CCACGUGUGGGAGCUUGUAUGUACCUUAUGAAUAAGCAUCGGCUAACUCCGUGCCAGCAGCCGCGGUAAUACGGAGGAUGCGAGCGUUAUCCGGAUUUAUUGGGUUUAAAGGGAGCGCAGACGGGUCGUUAAGUCAGCUGUGAAAGUUUGGGGCUCAACCUUAAAAUUGCAGUUGAUACUGGCGUCCUUGAGUGCGGUUGAGGUGUGCGGAAUUCGUGGUGUAGCGGUGAAAUGCUUAGAUAUCACGAAGAACUCCGAUUGCGAAGGCAGCACACUAAGCCGUAACUGACGUUCAUGCUCGAAAGUGUGGGUAUCAAACAGGAUUAGAUACCCUGGUAGUCCACACGGUAAACGAUGGAUACUCGCUGUUGGCGAUAUACGGUCAGCGGCUUAGCGAAAGCGUUAAGUAUCCCACCUGGGGAGUACGCCGGCAACGGUGAAACUCAAAGGAAUUGACGGGGGCCCGCACAAGCGGAGGAACAUGUGGUUUAAUUCGAUGAUACGCGAGGAACCUUACCCGGGCUUAAAUUGCAAAGGAAUUGCGUGGAAACAUGCAAGUCUUCGGACCUUUGUGAAGGUGCUGCAUGGUUGUCGUCAGCUCGUGCCGUGAGGUGUCGGCUUAAGUGCCAUAACGAGCGCAACCCUCGCCGCCAGUUACUAACAGUUAAAGCUGAGGACUCUGGCGGGACUGCCAUCGUAAGAUGUGAGGAAGGUGGGGAUGACGUCAAAUCAGCACGGCCCUUACGUCCGGGGCUACACACGUGUUACAAUGGGCGGUACAGAAGGCAGCUACCUGGCGACAGGAUGCCAAUCCCUAAAGCCGCUCUCAGUUCGGACUGGAGUCUGCAACCCGACUCCACGAAGCUGGAUUCGCUAGUAAUCGCGCAUCAGCCACGGCGCGGUGAAUACGUUCCCGGGCCUUGUACACACCGCCCGUCAAGCCAUGAAAGCCGGGGGUACCUGAAGUGCGUAACCGCAAGGAGCGCCCUAGGGUAAAACCGGUAAUUGGGGCUAAGUCGUAACAAGGUAGCCGUACCGGAAGGUGCGGCUGGAACACCUCCUUUCU
rnacentral:rRNA from 1 species